rnacentral:rRNA from 1 species
UACGUAGGGUCCGGGCGUUGUCCGGAAUUAUUGGGCGUAAAGGGCUCGUAGGCGGUUGGUCACGUCGGGAGUGAAAACUCAGGGCUCAACCCUGAGCGUGCUUCCGAUACGAGCCGACUAGAGGUAUGCAGGGGAGAACGGAAUUCCUGGUGUAGCGGUGGAAUGCGCAGAUAUCAGGAGGAACACCGGUGGCGAAGGCGGUUCUCUGGGCAUUACCUGACGCUGAGGAGCGAAAGCAUGGGGAGCGAACAGG